UUGAGGAGUGGCUUCCGGAGCUAACGCGUUAAGUCGACCGCCUGGGGAGUACGGCCGCAAGGUUAAAACUCAAAUGAAUUGACGGGGGCCCGCACAAGCGGUGGAGCAUGUGGUUUAAUUCGAUGCAACGCGAAGAACCUUACCUACUCUUGACAUCCAGAGAACUUAGCAGAGAUGCUUUGGUGCCUUCGGGAACUCUGAGACAGGUGCUGCAUGGCUGUCGUCAGCUCGUGUUGUGAAAUGUUGGGUUAAGUCCCGCAACGAGCGCAACCCUUAUCCUUUGUUGCCAGCGGUUCGGCCGGGAACUCAAAGGAGACUGCCAGUGAUAAACUGGAGGAAGGUGGGGAUGACGUCAAGUCAUCAUGGCCCUUACGAGUAGGGCUACACACGUGCUACAAUGGCGCAUACAAAGAGAAGCGACCUCGCGAGAGCAAGCGGACCUCAUAAAGUGCGUCGUAGUCCGGAUUGGAGUCUGCAACUCGACUCCAUGAAGUCGGAAUCGCUAGUAAUCGUAGAUCAGAAUGCUACGGUGAAUACGUUCCCGGGCCUUGCACUCACCGCCCGUCAAAA
rnacentral:rRNA from 1 species